rnacentral:lncRNA from 1 species
GGCAGAUGCAUUUCCCAAGCAUUUUCAGACUUAAUGAGUCCAGAGAGCAUCCCGUGGGGCAGGACAGUCACGUUAUUAGCAGAUUACGGCAAGGAAAUGGGGGAAAUCUACGGGUUCAAGUGAGCGAUGGGGACACCAGAAGUGUUCUGAUAUGAGAAGAACUUCUUCAGAAGAUGUCUUAAUGCAUAUGGGGAAACUGAGGUCCAGACAUGGCAUAGGAGACAGCAAUAACUAAGUAUGUACAGCAAAUCAAAGGAUGGAGCCUCAAACUGAAGCCAAGUCUACUAUAUCUUAUCAAUUUACCCAAUACCAUUGUCUCUCUCUGUAGAGGUUACCCUUUUAUGCACAUAAAUGUGAAUUAGAACAUCUCUGCC